rnacentral:rRNA from 1 species
UACGUAGGGCGCAAGCGUUAUCCGGAAUUAUUGGGCGUAAAGAGCUCGUAGGCGGUUUGUCGCGUCUGCCGUGAAAGUCCGGGGCUCAACUCCGGAUCUGCGGUGGGUACGGGCAGACUAGAGUGAUGUAGGGGGAGACUGGAAUUCCUGGUGUAGCGGUGAAAUGCGCAGAUAUCAGGAGGAACACCGAUGGCGAAGGCAGGGUCUCUGGGCAUUAACUGACGCUGAGGAGCGAAAGCAUGGGGGAGCGAACAGG